AAGGUUAUAUGAUCAAGUAAAAGAAGAGCACAAGGCGGAUGCC
rnacentral:rRNA from 1 species